GGCUGCUUAGACAACAGAAUACCAAGAGAGGCAGCUUCUCAGAUAACAAGCGAUGUGGCGAAGGAAAGCUGGUUCAAUCCGCAGAAGCAGCUUCCAGACGAAAUUCGGUAUUAUUGCAAGAUUGGUGGCUGAUCAAAGCAGGGCCAGAUACCCAUGGCAAACGAUUAGGCAUUGGAGGUUCCACUUUGGAAGGGUAAAGCUCAGUUUCUUGCUAGUUCAUUGUACACAAUUUACUUGAUAAAGAAAUCUGAGAAUAUUUAGAUAUAUAAAGAGUUCAAAUUAACUCUUAAGAGAUUCUCAGGGCAUGCCUCUCACUGUAAGAAUGAAAUUGUGGUGUGUGAAUGUUGAUCAUUGAUUGUAUUUUGAAUUAGCUUUUUAA